rnacentral:rRNA from 1 species
UGGGGAAUAUUGGACAAUGGAGGAAACUCUGAUCCAGCAAUUCUGUGUGUGUGAAGAAGGUUUUAGGACUGUAAAACACUUUUAGUAGGGAAGAAAAAAAUGACGGUACCUACAGAAGAAGCAACGGCUAAAUACGUGCCAGCAGCCGCGGUAAUACGUAUGUUGCGAGCGUUAUCCGGAAUGAUUGGGCUUAAAGGGCAUCUAGGCGGUAAGACAAGUUGAAGGUGAAAACCUGUGGCUCAACCAUAGGCUUGCCUACAAAACUGUUGAACUAGAGUACUGGAAAGGUGGGUGGAACUACACGAGUAGAGGUGAAAUUCGUAGAUAUGUGUAGGAAUGCCGAUGAUGAAGAUAACUCACUGGACAGAAACUGACGCUGAAGUGCGAAAGCUAGGGGAGCAAACAGG